CGGAGCAACACAGACUCCUCAUUGACUGAUCUCUCUCUCUCUCUCGUUCUCUCCGUUUUACAGCCUAAAAUGCCCCAGCUGGUGACCUCUGACAUGUAAAUGGCGUCCAAAGUGAGAGAUGCUGUGGUCUGGUACCAGAAGAAGAUUGGCGCUUAUGACCAACAGAUAUGGGAGAAGUCUGUUGAACAAAGAGAAAUCAAGGGCCUGAGGAACAAGCCGAAGAAGACAGGCCAUGUGAAAGCAGACCUCAUUGAUGUGGACCUAGUGAGAGGUAAGGAGGA